rnacentral:rRNA from 1 species
AUGAAUUGUUUGUCGUGAAAUUGCCGGGGGAUUGGUGGAGCCAGUACUGUUCGUGAUCUGGUAGCCCUCGUGGGUACUCACUCCCCGAAAUUGGUCUUUCUAUGUGAAACUAGACAACCGAAAGAAAAGGUUUAUCGUCUUCGUAAUCGUCUUGGCUUGGCUGGCUUUGAAGGUGUCAGCAGUGAUGGGCGUAGUGGUGGUCUUGCAUUAUUCUGGCACGAGUCUAUA